GACGAACGCUGGCGGCGUGCUUAACACAUGCAAGUCGAACGGAAAGGCCCUGCUUUUGUGGGGUGCUCGAGUGGCGAACGGGUGAGUAACACGUGAGUAACCUGCCCUUGACUUUGGGAUAACUUCAGGAAACUGGGGCUAAUACCGGAUAGGAGCUCCUGCUGCAUGGUGGGGGUUGGAAAGUGUCGGCGGUUGGGGAUGGACUCGCGGCUUAUCAGCUUGUUGGUGGGGUAGUGGCUUACCAAGGCUUUGACGGGUAGCCGGCCUGAGAGGGUGACCGGCCACAUUGGGACUGAGAUACGGCCCAGACUCCUACGGGAGGCAGCAGGGGGGAAUAUUGCACAAUGGGCGGAAGCCUGAUGCAGCAACGCCGCGUGCGGGAUGACGGCCUUCGGGUUGUAAACCGCUUUCGCCUGUGACGAAGCGUGAGUGACGGUAAUGGGUAAAGAAGCACCGGCUAACUACGUG
rnacentral:rRNA from 1 species